CGAGUACUCCCUCGGUUCGGAAUUACUUGUCACAAAAAUGAAUGUAUUUACUAUUAAAAUACAUCUAGAUACAUUUAUUUUUUGGACGAGUAAUUUCGAACGGAGGGAGUAGCUG
rnacentral:pre_miRNA from 1 species